ACUCCUACGGGGAGGCAGCAGUGGGGAAUAUUGCACAAUGGGCGCAAGCCUGAUGCAGCCAUGCCGCGUGUGUGAAGAAGGCCUUCGGGUUGUAAAGCACUUUCAGUCGUGAGGAAGGUAGUGUAGUUAAUAGCUGCAUUAUUUGUACGUUAGCGACAGAAGAAGCACCGGCUAACUCCGUGCCAGCAGCCGCGGUAAUACGGAGGGUGCGAGCGUUAAUCGGAAUUACUGGGCGUAAAGCGCAUGCAGGUGGUUUGUUAAGUCAGAUGUGAAAGCCCGGGGCUCAACCUCGGAAUAGCAUUUGAAACUGGCAGACUAGAGUACUGUAGAGGGGGGUAGAAUUUCAGGUGUAGCGGUGAAAGUGCGUAGAGAUCUGAAGGAAUACCGGUGGCGAAGGCGGCCCCCUGGACAGAUACUGACACU
rnacentral:rRNA from 1 species